rnacentral:rRNA from 1 species
CACAGANUGGAUAACACCUGGAAACAGAUGCUAAUACCGGAUAACAACAGAUGAUGCCUAUCAACUGUUUAAAAGAUGGUUCUGCUAUCACUCUUGGAUGGACCUGCGGUGCAUUAGCUAGUUGGUAGGGUAACGGCCUACCAAGGCGAUGAUGCAUAGCCGAGUUGAGAGACUGAUCGGCCACAUUGGGACUGAGACACGGCCCAAACUCCUACGGGAGGCAGCAGCA